UUAAUUUUCAGAUCUAGAUCUGAAUAUCAGAUCUGAAUAUCCAAAAAACGAACGCAGACCUCGCCGCCUCGCCUCGCCGUUCGCCUUCGCAUCUCUUCCGCCGUUCGCUCUCCGUCGCCCAUCGCUCUCCAGCCGUCGUCGCUCCGUCACCCAGCCGCCGUCCACCUCCAUCGCCGCCGCCGCUUUAGACCUCCAUCGCCCAGCACGCUGCUAGCUUUCUCGGCGCCGGACGAACUGCCACACCUCCUCGCCGCCGGACGCCACUGCAGACCUCCUCCCCGUUUCGCAGCACCACCCCGCGCCUGGCGCCCUCCCCGCGUUCGCCGCUGUCGGUCCGUCGUCGAUCAUCAGUGUCCUACACAAUCCGGUAGUGUGGAGUGCGGAUAUUAUGUCUUGCGAUUUAUGUUUGAGAUAUGCACUCAAUACUAUGAGUAUGAAGAUUUAGCAUCGGCAUUUGCGGGGUCAAAGUCCUACACGGAGAAUCAAAUCCAUGAAAUUCGUGAAAUUUGGGCUAAAUACUUUUGUGAAGAAUGCUUAUGACAUUUUGUGUAGGUAAAGUGUUGUAAUGAUGUAAUGAUGAAUGUGUUAUGUUUUAUAAAAUUGUAAUGAUGUAUGUGUUAAGUAUUUGGUAUAUGUUAAAAUUAUGUGUUUACUAUUAACAUUAUGUGUUUACUUAUUAUGUUUUAUUUGGUAUGUGUUAAGUAUUUUGGUAACGUAGUUUUACUUUGAAUUGGUGAGAAAUAUUUAGAUUUGAAGUAGCUAGUGUUGAAGUUGAUAUAUUGUUGAAGUUUUGAAAACAUUGAAGUAGCUUUGAAGUGUUGAAGUGUUGGAUAGGUGUGGUUUGAUGUGGUGUGGUUUGAUGUUUGGUGUAUGGUUU